UACGUAGGGUGCAAGCGUUGCCCGGAAUUAUUGGGCGUAAAGGGCUCGUAGGCGGUCCAUCGCGUCGGGAGUGAAAAGCUGGGGCUUAACCCCAGUCCUGCUUCCGAUACGGGUGGACUAGAGGUAGGUAGGGGAGAACGGAAUUCCUGGUGUAGCGGUGAAAUGCGCAGAUAUCAGGAGGAACACCGGUGGCGAAGGCGGGUCUCUGGGCCGAUACUGACGCUGAGGAGCGAAAGCGUGGGGAGCGAACAGG
rnacentral:rRNA from 1 species